rnacentral:rRNA from 1 species
GACGAACGCUGGCGGCGUGCUUAACACAUGCGAGUCGAACGGAAAGGCCCUGCUUUUGUGGGGUGCUCGAGUGGCGAACGGGUGAGUAACACGUGAGUAACCUGCCCUUGACUUUGGGAUAACUUCAGGAAACUGGGGCUAAUACCGGAUAGGAGCUCCUGCUGCAUGGUGGGGGUUGGAAAGUUUCGGCGGUUGGGGAUGGACUCGCGGCUUAUCAGCUUGUUGGUGGGGUAGUGGCUUACCAAGGCUUUGACGGGUAGCCGGCCUGAGAGGGUGACCGGCCACAUUGGGACUGAGAUACGGCCCAGACUCCUCCGGGAGGCAGCAGUGGGGAAUAUUGCACAAUGGGCGGAAGCCUGAUGCAGCAACGCCGCGUGCGGGAUGACGGCCUUCGGGUUGUAAACCGCUUUCGCCUGUGACGAAGCGUGAGUGACGGUAAUGGGUAAAGAAGCACCGGCUAACUACGUG